UACGAGGGGGGCAAAUGUUGUUCGGAAUCACUGGGCGUAAAGGGAGCGUAGGCGGGUUCUUAAGUUAGGUGUUUAAUCCCGGGGCCCAACCCCGGACCGGCACUUAAAACUGGGAAUCUUGAAUAGUGGAGAGGUCAGUGGAAUUGGGGGUGUAGCGGUGGAAUGCGUAGAGAUCCCCAAGAACACCAGUUGCGAAGGCGGCUGACUGGACCGUUGUUGACGCUGAGGUGCGAAAGCGUGGGGAGCAAACAGG
rnacentral:rRNA from 1 species